rnacentral:rRNA from 1 species
UCUUUUUUAGAGUAAAAAUAUGAAGUUUAUUUUUUAGUAAGAAAGCUAAAAUAAAUCUUUUAGACAAGAAGACCCUAUAAAACUUUAUAUUUUUCUAUUUCUUUUAAAUAGAGAAAAUAUUUUACUGGGGCGGUGAGGAAAAGAGCUUUCCUUAAAAAAAAAGACAAACAUGUUUUUAUACCUAAAAUUUUUAAAAAAGGAAUAAGUUACUUUAGGGAUAACAGCUUUAUACACUUUGAAAGACCAAAUUGACAAGUGUGUUUAUGACCUCGAUGUUGAAUUAAAAUUCCUUUUUUAUGCAGUAGUUUUAAAAGGAGGUCUGUUCGACCUUUAAAAUUUUCCA